GAUCAUGGCUCAGGAGUGAACGCUGGCGGCGUGCUUAACACAUGCAAGUCGAACGCUGAAGCUCCCAGCUUGCUGGGGGUGGAUGAGUGGCGAACGGGUGAGUAUCACGUGAGUAACCUGCCCUUGACUCUGGGAUAAGCCCGGGAAACUGGGUCUAAUACUGGAUAGGACUGGCCAUCGCAUGGUGGUUGGUUGAAAGCUUUUGCGGUUUUGGAUGGACUCGCGGCCUAUCAGCUUGUUGGUGGGGUAAUGGCCUACCAAGGCUUUGACGGGUAGCCGGCCUGAGAGGGUGACCGGCCACACUGGGACUGAGACACGGCCCAGACUCCUACGGGAGGCAGCAGGUGGGGGAUAUUGCACAAUGGGCGCAAGCCUGAAUGCAGCGACGCCGCGUGAGGGAUGACGGCCUUCGGGUUGUAAACCUCUUUCAGUUGGGAAGAAGCCUUUCGGGGUGACGGUACCUUCAGAAGAAGCACCGGCUAACUACGUGCCAGCCGCAGC
rnacentral:rRNA from 1 species